CAUGCAAGUCGAGGGGCAGCAUGGUCUUAGCUUGCUAAGGCCGAUGGCGACCGGCGCACGGGUGAGUAACACGUAUCCAACCUGCCGUCUACUCUUGGACAGCCUUCUGAAAGGAAGAUUAAUACAAGAUGGCAUCAUGAGUCCGCAUGUUCACAUGAUUAAAGGUAUUCCGGUAGACGAUGGGGAUGCGUUCCAUUAGAUAGUAGGCGGGGUAACGGCCCACCUAGUCUUCGAUGGAUAGGGGUUCUGAGAGGAAGGUCCCCCACAUUGGAACUGAGACACGGUCCAAACUCCUACGGGAGGCAGCAGUGAGGAAUAUUGGUCAAUGGGCGAGAGCCUGAACCAGCCAAGUAGCGUGAAGGAUGACUGCCCUAUGGGUUGUAAACUUCUUUUAUAAAGGAAUAAAGUCGGGUAUGCAUACCCGUUUGCAUGUACUUUAUGAAUAAGGAUCGGCUAACUCCGUGCCAACAGCCGCGGUAAUACGGAGGAUCCGAGCGUUAUCCGGAUUUAUUGGGUUUAAAGGGAGCGUAGAUGGAUGUUUAAGUCAGUUGUGAAAGUUUGCGGCUCAACCGUAAAAUUGCAGUUGAUACUGGAUAUCUUGAGUGCAGUUGAGGCAGGCGGAAUUCGUGGUGUAGCGGUGAAAUGCUUAGAUAUCACGAAGAACUCCGAUUGCGAAGGCAGCCUGCUAAGCUGCAACUGA
rnacentral:rRNA from 1 species